rnacentral:tRNA from 1 species
UCUCGAUCUGGCGGAUGGGACAGCGCGGGUCGUUGACGCCGGCCGAGAUGUACACCGGGGCCUUGACCUGGUCGACGUAGGUGAUCGGGGA